UACGAAGGGGGCUAGCGUUGCUCGGAAUUACUGGGCGUAAAGGGAGCGUAGGCGGAUCGUUAAGUUGGGGGUGAAAGCCCGGGGCUCAACCUCGGAAUUGCCUUCAAUACUGGCGAUCUUGAGUAUGGGAGAGGUGUGUGGAACUCCGAGUGUAGAGGUGAAAUUCGUAGAUAUUCGGAAGAACACCAGUGGCGAAGGCGACACACUGGCCCAUUACUGACGCUGAGGCUCGAAAGCGUGGGGAGCAAACAGG
rnacentral:rRNA from 1 species